rnacentral:rRNA from 1 species
AUGAGGAAUUAAAUGGCCGCGGUAUUUUGACCGUGCAAAGGUAGCAUAAUCAUUAGUUUUUUAAUUGAAAGCUGGAAUGAAAGGUUGGAUGAGAAAAUAACUGUCUCUAUUUAAAUUAGUUAGAAUUUUAUUUUUAAGUAAGAAAGCUUAAAUGAAAAUAGAAGACGAGAAGACCCUAUAGAGUUUUAUAUAUUUUAAUUUAAAAAGGUUUUAGAAUUAAGAAAUUUUUAUAUUAAUAUUUAUUUAGUUGGGGUGAUUGAAAAAUUAGAAAAACUUUUUUUAGUAUAUUAACAUUAAUUUAUGAUUAGUUGAUCCUUAAAUAAAGAUUAAAAGAAAAAAUUACCUUAGGGAUAACAGCGUAAUUUUUUUAAAGAGUUCAAAUCGAAAAAAAAGAUUGCGACCUCGAUGUUGGAUUAAAAUAAAAUUUUGGUGUAGAAGCUAAAAUAUUUGGGUCUGUUCGACCCUUAAAAUUUUACAUGAUCUGAGUUUAAACCGGCGU